rnacentral:rRNA from 1 species
UACGGAGGGUGCAAGCGUUGUCCGGAUUUAUUGGGUUUAAAGGGUGCGUAGGCGGCUUUUUAAGUCAGCGGUGAAAGCCGAUUGCUCAACAAUCGAACUGCCGUUGAUACUGGAGAGCUUGAGUUUGAUUGAGGUAGCUGGAAUGGAUAGUGUAGCGGUGAAAUGCUUAGAUAUUAUCCAGAACUCCAAUUGCGUAGGCAGGUUACUAAGUCAUUACUGACGCUGAGGCACGAAAGUGCGGGUAUCAAACAGG